rnacentral:rRNA from 1 species
GUACACUCCUACGGGAGGCAGCAGUGGGGAAUAUUGCACAAUGGGCGCAAGCCUGAUGCAGCCAUGCCGCGUGUAUGAAGAAGGCCUUCGGGUUGUAAAGUACUUUCAGCGGGGAGGCAGGCGAUAAGGUUAAUAACCUUGUCGAUUGACGUUACCCGCAGAAGAAGCACCGGCUAACUCCGUGCCAGCAGCCGCGGUAAUACGGAGGGUGCAAGCGUUAAUCGGAAUUACUGGGCGUAAAGCGCACGCAGGCGGGCUGUCAAGUCGGAUGUGAAAUCCCCGGGCUCAACCUGGGAACUGCAUUCGAAACUGGCAGGCUAGAGUCUUGUAGAGGGGGGUAGAAUUCCAGGUGUAGCGGUGAAAUGCGUAGAGAUCUGGAGGAAUACCGGUGGCGAAGGCGGCCCCCUGGACAAAGACUGACGCUCAGGUGCGAAAGCGUGGGGAGCAAACAGGAUUAGAAACCCGUGUAGUCCC